rnacentral:rRNA from 1 species
GAUGAACGCUGGCGGCGUGCCUAACACAUGCAAGUCGAGCGAUCUUCUUCGGAAGAGAGCGGCGGACGGGUGAGUAACGCGUGGGUAACCUGCCCUGUACACACGGAUAACAUACCGAAAGGUAUGCUAAUACGGGAUGAUAUAUGAAAGUCGCAUGGCUUUUAUAUCAAAGCUCCGGCGGUACAGGAUGGACCCGCGUCUGAUUAGCUAGUUGGUAAGGUAACGGCUUACCAAGGCGACGAUCAGUAGCCGACCUGAGAGGGUGAUCGGCCACACUGGAACUGAGACACGGUCCAGACUCCUACGGGAGGCAGCAGUGGGGAAUAUUGCACAAUGGGCGAAAGCCUGAUGCAGCAACGCCGCGUGAGCGAUGAAGGCCUUCGGGUCGUAAAGCUCUGUCCUCAAGGAAGAUAAUGACGGUACUUGAGGAGGAAGCCCCGGCUAACUACGUGCCAGCAGCCGCGGUAAUACGUAGGGGGCUAGCGUUAUCCGGAAUUACUGGGCGUAAAGGGUGCGUAGGCGGUCUUUCAAGCCAGAAGUGAAAGGCUACGGCUCAACCGUAGUAAGCUUUUGGAACUGUAGGACUUGAGUGCAGGAGAGGAGAGUAGAAUUCCUAGUGUAGCGGUGAAAUGCGUAGAUAUUAGGAGGAAUACCAGUAGCGAAGGCGGCUCUCUGGACUGUAACUGACGCUGAGGCACGAAAGCGUGGGGAGCAAACAGG